GAGUUUGAUCCUGGCUCAGAACGAACGCUGGCGGCAGGCUUAACACAUGCAAGUCGAACGCCCUCUUCGGAGGGAGUGGCAGACGGGUGAGUAACGCGUGGGAACCUACCCAGUAGUACGGAAUAACUCAGGGAAACUUGUGCUAAUACCGUAUACGCCCUACGGGGGAAAGAUUUAUCGCUAUUGGAUGGGCCCGCGUUGGAUUAGUUUGUUGGUGAGGUAACGGCUCACCAAGGCUACGAUCCAUAGCUGGUCUGAGAGGAUGAUCAGCCACACUGGGACUGAGACACGGCCCAGACUCCUACGGGAGGCAGCAGUGGGGAAUAUUGGACAAUGGGGGAAACCCUGAUCCAGCCAUGCCGCGUGAGUGAAGAAGGCCCUAGGGUUGUAAAGCUCUUUCGCUAGGGAAGAUAAUGACGGUACCUAGUAAAGAAGCCCCGGCUAACUUCGUGCCAGCAGCCGCGGUAAUACGAAGGGGGCUAGCGUUGUUCGGAAUUACUGGGCGUAAAGCGCACGUAGCGGAUUGUU
rnacentral:rRNA from 1 species